UGGCGGACGGGUGAGUAACGCGUGGAUAACCUGCCUCACACUGGGGGAUAACAGUUAGAAAUGGCUGCUAAUACCGCAUAAGCGCACAGGGCCGCAUGGUCUGGUGUGAAAAACUCCGGUGGUGUAAGAUGGACCCGCGUCUGAUUAGGUAGUUGGUGGGGUAACGGCCCACCAAGCCGACGAUCAGUAGCCGACCUGAGAGGGUGACCGGCCACAUUGGGACUGAGACACGGCCCAA
rnacentral:rRNA from 1 species